GCCGAAGUGGCGGAACUGGUAGACGCGUGGCACUCAAAAUGCCAUGGGAGCAAUCCCGUGAGAGUUCAAGUCUCUCCUUCGGCA
rnacentral:tRNA from 1 species